UACGGGGGGAGCAAGCGUUGUUCGGAUUUACUGGGCGUAAAGGGCGCGUAGGCGGCCACCGCAAGUCGGUUGUGAAAUCUCUGGGCUUAACCCAGAAAGGUCAACCGAUACUGCGGGGCUAGAGUGCAGAAGGGGCAACUGGAAUUCUCGGUGUAGCGGUGAAAUGCGUAGAUAUCGAGAGGAACACCUGCGGCGAAGGCGGGUUGCUGGGCUGACACGUGACGCUGAAGCGCGAAAGCUAGGGGGAGCGAACAGG
rnacentral:rRNA from 1 species